AAUCUUUGUCUUCAACUUUUAACGUUUUAAGUACAGUGUGUCUCAGUGUGGAUGUCUUUGGGUUCAUAAUAUUUGGAACUGUGUGCUUCCUGAAUCUCAAGGUCUGUUUCCUUCCCCGGAUCUCAAGGUCUGU